CUAAUUAAGGUGUCUUUUACUCCGUGUUCCCAGGCUCCCUGUUUCCCUUCGGUCGCCGUGGGUGUGCCGGACGCCUCUGGCAGGACUAACCCUGUGGCUUUUAUGUCCAACGUGCUGUGCUGUGUGUGCCUGCAGCGUGUUUUGUUGGACGCCGGUAAGCAGGACCCGGGUGAAAAGGACAUUCUCUGAGGUGCUGGGAGAAGGAGGACUCGUGCGGGCCCCUCCAGAGACAGCGGGAACGGGAGCGUGCUGCGGAGAAGGAAAAUUCCAGGGGAAUUGCCACGAGAGGAAAUACUUCAGAGGGGCUUCCCUCCAGAUAAGCCCUGAAUGUGCCAGGAGGUUUCAGCCGGGAGGAAAGGAGCUGUGGAAGAAAAGCAGCCUAAAAAUAGCCAGUGGGGAUCAUCAGGUUUUCCAGCCAAGAAGAACAAGGAGAGAGAUGAGGGAAUUGGGUUCCAAUUCCUAAUGAUUUGGUGGGUGCAGGAAGGAUUUGUGUGUGUUUUCCGGUCCCUUUUGAUUCCUGAGAUGAUUUUAAAAUGAUGGCUUUAGCAAUCAACUAAAUUGGAGAUGUUGUUUUUGAGAGGAAAUGAUGCCAAAUAAAUGCAGAGUUUUGGGUCAGUU